rnacentral:rRNA from 1 species
UCGUAAUCACCUGUCUGUAGGUGACAUGCGGAAGGAUCAUUA